rnacentral:lncRNA from 1 species
CAUACAAUGUGUAAUACAGAUCCAAACAUGAUAGCCAGAUAGCCGGUACCGAUAUGUCGACAAUGGUACCCUUUCUUGUUUUUUACAGCUUCAGAACCCUUGAGAAAACAGUAUAUCUUUUUGUUGACAUUGUCUAUGCACUGUAAAAGCAAUGAUAUAGCAAGAUAAAAUAUUUCUCUUUCUUAAUUGUGAAAAUUAUAAUAAAGAAUACAGUCUUACACAUAAAAUUCAGUGCAGAUAUUGAUCCCAGAGAUCAUCAUAUUACAAGAUUGGAAGAAUUCUAUGUCUUCAUCAGUCCCUUUAACAAAAAUUCAUGCCUGGAAUUGCGAAAACGCUGUUUCUUUUCUCCCCCAAAUAAAAUUAGACCAGUUUAGCUUAGAGGUCAUUAGGGUUCUUUUCAGUUCACCACUAAGAAGUUCAAUAUUUUUGCCACUUAAGGUACUGGAUGAGUAUGGUAUAGUGGUAAGAAAACAUUUUAGGAACGACCAUCCCAGCAGCACUCUAAUUCUCGCUCCAUUAUGUAUAAUAUAUGUUUGUUGAUGACUUUACUUAUUAUAGAAUCUGUUAAUAAUCCCUAUUGACUUGGUUAAGGAGGCAGUUUCGACACUUUAAUCUUCUUUCUGGUUUUAUGUGACAGAGUUGUCUUCACAUUUACAAUAUUUUUCCUAUAGCCAUAAUUUUAAGUUCUAACUAUACAUAUUUCGACAGAAAAAAGUCACUAACUUUUCUAAAUGCAGGCAAUGACACUCACCAGAGAAUGAUGGAUUGUACUCAAUUUAACAGCGAGGACCACCAGAGCUGGACUUCUUUCACAGCAAUUUAAUUGUGAAUAUAAGGUUGAGUGGUCAUGAUGGGGAAGAGGGGC